UUUCUAACUCCCAGAAAAUAAAAGGGCGCGCGAGCCCAACAGUUUCACAAAUUCAUCAAAGUUAAAUCCUGUCUAUGAUAAUAUUGAUGAUUUCCAAACAAAAACGGAAGAUGUGGAAACAAAGAUGUCCUACAAUAUCAGUUUAUGAUGGUUGUACAUUGGAUGUCUGGUAUUCCAGCAUCUCAGCCCUGUACCUCUCCUUAUCUCUCGCACCUUUUUCCUGAUAAACCUGUUUUUCGGCCUCUGUGAGUCGACUCCAAAGAAUUCCAAUCCUUUUGCUGAUAGCUCUCUCUUGCCCCUGAUAUGAAGGCUUCAACGUUGCAUAAUGCUCAGCAAAGAAAAAAUUAUAACCACUUCGAUUUGGCUUGGGUCGAGAGGGGUCCUUCAAAGCCAACUGUCUUUUCCUAAUCCUUUGGGAAGGUGUAGCCAAAGUAUUCACCUUUUGGAAUUGAUUUGGUAAUGCAGGUAUAUGAUACAGUACACCAUUUAAAUUCUCCGAGCCCAGGUUCACAGAGAUUACAUAACCGUAAUCAAACUUCGCAUCAAUUGUUCCUACCAG
rnacentral:misc_RNA from 1 species